rnacentral:rRNA from 1 species
UACGUAGGUGGCGAGCGUUGUCCGGAAUUACUGGGCGUAAAGGGCGCGCAGGCGGGUCCUUAAGUCAGGUGUGAAAUGUGCAGGCUUAACCUGUAAUAUGCACUUGAAACUGGGGGUCUUGAGUGCAGGAGAGGGCAGUGGAAUUCCUAGUGUAGCGGUGAAAUGCGUAGAUAUUAGGAGGAACACCAGUGGCGAAGGCGGCUGCCUGGACUGCAACUGACGCUGAGGCGCGAAAGCGUGGGGAGCAAACAGGAUUAGAUACC